rnacentral:rRNA from 1 species
GCUUAACACAUGCAAGUCGAGGGGCAGCAUGGUCUUAGCUUGCUAAGGCCGAUGGCGACCGGCGCACGGGUGAGUAACACGUAUCCAACCUGCCGUCUACUCUUGGACAGCCUUCUGAAAGGAAGAUUAAUACAAGAUGGCAUCAUGAGUCCGCAUGUUCACAUGAUUAAAGGUAUUCCGGUAGACGAUGGGGAUGCGUUCCAUUAGAUAGUAGGCGGGGUAACGGCCCACCUAGUCUUCGAUGGAUAGGGGUUCUGAGAGGAAGGUCCCCCACAUUGGAACUGAGACACGGUCCAAACUCCUACGGGAGGCAGCAGUGAGGAAUAUUGGUCAAUGGGCGAGAGCUUGAACCAGCCAAGUAGCGUGAAGGAUGACUGCCCUAUGGGUUGUAAACUUCUUUUAUAAAGGAAUAAAGUCGGGUAUGGAUACCCGUUUGCAUGUACUUUAUGAAUAAGGAUCGGCUAACUCCGUGCCAGCAGCCGCGGUAAUACGGAGGAUCCGAGCGUUAUCCGGAUUUAUUGGGUUUAAAGGGAGCGUAGAUGGAUGUUUAAGUCAGUUGUGAAAGUUUGCGGCUCAACCGUAAAAUUGCAGUUGAUACUGGAUAUCUUGAGUGCAGUUGAGGCAGGCGGAAUUCGUGGUGUAGCGGUGAAAUACUUAGAUAUCACGAAGAACUCCGAUUGCGAAGGCAGCCUGCUAAGCUGCAACUGACAUUGAGGCUCGAAAGUGUGGGUAUCAAACAGGAUUAGAUACCCUGGUAGUCCACACGGUAAACGAUGAAUACUCGCUGUUUGCGAUAUACUGCAAGCGGCCAAGCGAAAGCGUUAAGUAUUCCACCUGGGGAGUACGCCGGCAACGGUGAAACUCAAAGGAAUUGACGGGGGCCCGCACAAGCGGAGGAACAUGUGGUUUAAUUCGAUGAUACGCGAGGAACCUUACCCGGGCUUAAAUUGCAGAUGAAUUACGGUGAAAGCCGUAAGCCGCAAGGCAUCUGUGAAGGUGCUGCAUGGUUGUCGUCAGCUCGUGCCGUGAGGUGUCGGCUUAAGUGCCAUAACGAGCGCAACCCUUGUUGUCAGUUACUAACAGGUUCCGCUGAGGACUCUGACAAGACUGCCAUCGUAAGAUGUGAGGAAGGUGGGGAUGACGUCAAAUCAGCACGGCCCUUACGUCCGGGGCUACACACGUGUUACAAUGGGGGGUACAGAGGGCCGCUACCACGCGAGUGGAUGCCAAUCCCCAAAACCUCUCUCAGUUCGGACUGGAGUCUGCAACCCGACUCCACGAAGCUGGAUUCGCUAGUAAUCGCGCAUCAGCCACGGCGCGGUGAAUACGUUCCCGGGCCUUGUACACACCGCCCGUCAAGCCAUGGGAGCCGGGGGUACCUGAAGUGCGUAACCGCGAGGAGCGCCCUAGGGUAAAACUGGUGACU